UACAGAGGCCACAAGCGUUAGACGGAAUCACUGGGCUUAAAGCGUGUGUAGGCGGGAUGGUAAGUACCUUGUGAAAUCCCACAGCUUAACUGUGGAAAUGCUUGGUAUACUGCCGUUCUUGAGUCACCUAGGGGCAGCUGGAACAGAUGGUGGAGCGGUGAAAUGCAUAGAUAUCGUCUGGAACGCCAAUGGUGCAGACAAGCUGCUGGGGGUGUACUGACGCUGAGGCACGAAAGCCAGGGGAGCAAACGGG
rnacentral:rRNA from 1 species